UGCCCCAUGGCUGAGUUGGUUACAGCGUCCGACUGUUAAGGCCCGAACUCUCGGGGAUUACGUAAUCGGAAGGUCGUGAGUUCGAGCCUCACUGGGGCAG
rfam:Hebeloma cylindrosporum h7 unplaced genomic scaffold scaffold_6, whole genome shotgun sequence.